GCCGGGCCAUGCCCGGUUCGGCUGCGCUGCUGUGCGUGGUAGAUCCGUCUCGGGCGGUGCAGGCAACGCGACAUCGGGUGGAAAGUGUUGUUGAUGGGCACUUUCUUUAAGCGCAUCAACGGCGCGUCUUCCUCGGGGUCGCACCACGUGCCAGUGUCUUGGCCGUCUGUCUCUGGUGAUAGGGUGUCUGUCCCGCGCUCGUCUUCUGCCCGUGUGAUCUCUCGCCCUGCUUGGGUCUGGGUCUAGUGUUCCUUUAUGCUCUCUCUCCGGCAAGUUGCUUCCUCUAAUCGCGUCUCAUGCACUCGGUGUUGGUUUACGGCUUUAUCUUCGCGCCUCGUUAUGGAGUUCGAAAUACAGCGCUGCCUGCUCGCAGGAGUCCUGGCUGGAAGUCGGCUGGGUUCCAGGCUGCACUUCACACUUGCUGUUCUACAACUCUUCUGGUUAAGGGGUGUGCCGGAUAACCCAGCCUAAUUUCCGAGUUGAUUCCCUGCCAUGCUCGGUUCCGCUGUUCUGCCGCGUGCGGUAAGUCUAUUGAAGGCGAGGCUGGCGAAGUAACAUCGGGUGAGGAAACUGCGUUAGGGACAGCCAUUUUCAGUGGUCGGCCAGUGCACAACUUCGAAAGGUCACGCCGAGCGCCAGCUUCCUGGUCUUCAGGUUCCGCAGGAUUAAGGUCUGCCUCUGGCUCGUCUUUCGUCACUGCACCUCUCACGAAUCCCAGUCAGGUUAGGGUCGNNNNNNNNNNNNNNNNNNNNNNNNNNNNNNNNNNNNNNNNNNNNNNNNNNAGAAAUUUGACGCGGUGGGACGGUCGCAGCUGGCAUUUCUCGGGCUCAGGGUGAAACCCAGAGCCGAUGAGUAGGUUGACGACUGCACGGCACAGGUGUUGUGCUGCCGUGUGUGUCCUCGCCGCCACCGUGCAGUCGUCGAUAAAGUAAGCCAGGUCUAAGCCUCGCUCCGCAUCGGUCGAAACAGCUCCUGUUUCCGCAGGCUGUAAACCCAGCAGGCCGGGGCGAAACUGAACGCCAUUACGAGCCAGUAGUGUAAGUCGCCAACCCAUUCAAAUGCGGCAACGCGGUACAUGUCUGGGUGAUAGCAGUAGGAUCCAAUAGCCGUUUUGUCGUCUGUUGUGAAGAGGAAAUCGUCCUUUCACAGAAAGCCUGGCAAGUCCAAGACGUGCUCUCGUAUUUUAGCGGCGGGGUCUCCAUGAAGCGGUUGGGGUACAUGGGGUUCGUGUAUAGGCGCAGCUCCUUGCCUUCUACUACCUGUAGGCCGUUGACGACCGUAGGUGGUCCCCACUCUGAGGGGCACUUGCGCGUCACCCCACGUCCAAGCCAUUCUGGGUGUCUACUGUGGCAAACGCGCUAUGCAGGUUGGUGCUGCGGUGGUUGGGAAACUAGGUGACAUGCGGCAUUCUGCCGGUUAGGUACGGUUCUGGGUCCACCUCGCGGCCAGUGGCUUGGCUGAUCAUUUGGAGGACUAUACGGUGCUUCUUGCGGCGCUGUGGGCAGAACUGAGGGCCCAAGCCGGGCGUUCCCACCCAGGUGAAGCGCACCCCUUCCUCUAAGAAGGCUAGCACACAGGCGUUGGUUGUGAGUUGGUGAUCGUGCCCUGUUGUGGAGUUCAAGUAGCGGCGCCAUAGCGAGCUGCAUGCUCGCGGGGGACCUGGCUGGAAACCGGCUGGGUUCGAGCUGCGCUUCGUACCUCAAUUCGAACUUCGCUUCUGGCAUCGGCGGCGGGUCUGUGGGCCCAGCCUGUGUUGCCGUAAUAAUGCCGGGCCAUGCCCGGUUCGGCUGCGCUGCUGUGCGUGGUAGAUCCGUCUCGGGCGGUGCAGGCAACGCGACAUCGGGUGGAAAGUGUUGUUGAUGGGCACUUUCUUUAAGCGCAUCAACGGCGCGUCUUCCUCGGGGUCGCACCACGUGCCAGUGUCUUGGCCGUCUGUCUCUGGUGAUAGGGUGUCUGUCCCGCGCUCGUCUUCUGCCCGUGUGAUCUCUCGCCCUGCUUGGGUCUGGGUCUAGUGUUCCUUUAUGCUCUCUCUCCGGCAAGUUGCUUCCUCUAAUCGCGUCUCAUGCACUCGGUGUUGGUUUACGGCUUUAUCUUCGCGCCUCGUUAUGGAGUUCGAAAUACAGCGCUGCCUGCUCGCAGGAGUCCUGGCUGGAAGUCGGCUGGGUUCCAGGCUGCACUUCACACUUGCUGUUCUACAACUCUUCUGGUUAAGGGGUGUGCCGGAUAACCCAGCCUAAUUUCCGAGUUGAUUCCCUGCCAUGCUCGGUUCCGCUGUUCUGCCGCGUGCGGUAAGUCUAUUGAAGGCGAGGCUGGCGAAGUAACAUCGGGUGAGGAAACUGCGUUAGGGACAGCCAUUUUCAGUGGUCGGCCAGUGCACAACUUCGAAAGGUCACGCCGAGCGCCAGCUUCCUGGUCUUCAGGUUCCGCAGGAUUAAGGUCUGCCUCUGGCUCGUCUUUCGUCACUGCACCUCUCACGAAUCCCAGUCAGGUUAGGGUCGGCCGUCUAUGCUUCGCUUCUAUCUCUCUGUCCCGCAGGCCACUACUUCCAUCGCCAUCCGCAGGCCAAGCGCCGACACACCAUACAUUUGGGUGCCCUGAAUUCCUUCCAAUUCACGGGGCGAUGCCACAUACCAGCGUGCAUGUCCCGUCCUUCCACAAGACCGAACGAGAAACUCGCCGCACUGUCAUGGCACGAGGGCGGGUCCACUCCCCCACCCUCGCCUUCCAUAGCUAAGCCGAUCCUUCCAGAGCACUGCCUACACUCCUCCAUUGCCGCGCCGUGCCUCUCGCUUCGCGACCAGCACAGAUUACCCAGCGCUCCACUGCUCUCUUGACGUCCUCGUGCUCGAACUCACAGUUCGGGGUGUCCACCGUACAGGCUCGGUUUCCUAGGAGCGCUCGAUUGCAGCCGGUGGCUGGUCGGGGCGACCUUGGCUGUGCAGGACAAAGUGUCGCUGUCCAGGCUCCACUCUGCCGGAAAGUUACGCAUCUGGAGCUCCUCUUUCCGCGUCUAGGGCCGUCUGCUCGUUGUGGCCUAUUGGCUGCCUCGCCUGCUGGGGCGCCGCCUUGGCGGCCUCUGCCCUGCCGGCCUUCCCGCCACCAAGUGCGCCGCCAAACAUGCCUCUAGGACCCCACGGCCUGCUCUUCACCGCCCACCCCGGGCGCUUCCCAGGAUGCGUGCCCCAACCUUCGCCUCUCUGCAAGCCAGGUCUCGUGUCUGUUAACCUGUUGGUGCGCCCCCUUAGGCAUCAGGGUUUACCAUCCUCCGGCCUAGGUGCUCGUUUCGUGUAGCAAACGGGGGUGGGUGUCCGCCGAGAUUCUGUCCUGCUUGCCUCGCCAGGUGUCUCAUCAUAAGAUUCAGCUAUGUGCCCUCUCUGCUGCCUUGUCCGGGGGCGCGUGCCUAGCUUCGCUCGCUCCGCGUCCAUACAAGGGUAAGUCUUCCCGUCCUGGUCCUGGGUGAUGCUAGCUCGAGCCCGUCGGGCCUUGUGUGCCGUGUCGCUCGCUAGGAGGAUCCGCCUCCCAAUCGCUAGGAGGAUCAGCCUCCCAAUCGCUAGGAGGAUCAGCCUCCCAAUCGCUAGGAGGAUCAGCCUCCCAAUNN
rnacentral:lncRNA from 1 species